UACUGGUCAUACUUGGUGUACUAUCUACCGAUUUACUCUUUACAGUUGGGACAAGAGUAGGCUUCACCAGAUCUUUUUCCAGCAAGAUAGCUUUGCUGUGGCUCGGGAUGUCCUUCACAGUCCCUGCACUCAUUUUUCUACAGAUUCCCAGGAGCACGGCUGAAAUAUGGAGACAGAAAUAGCAGAACAAGCCACGUGCAGAAUGAAUCAUCCUCUGCAUUUAUGAUCUGCACAAAUAAAUGGUGUCGCCUCCUCUCUGCCCUCAGUGUGGUCAGAUGAGCUUCUUUCUCAGCCAGAGACUGUUGGGUGGACGACAUCUUGGCCUUCAUGGACUCAAGCUCCAGCUUCACCUUCUCCAUCGCUCCAAGCAACUCUUCCAUCUUUUUAAGAAAUAAACAAAAGGAUGUCCAAUAGACGAUCAACUUCAGCCUGGGCUUUGGCGGAGUCCUCUCUGUGUCUGGCCACAUCAGCCUCGAGUGAAGAAAUCCGCUCAGAUAUCUCUGCGUUGGCCUGUGAAUUGGCUGCAGCACUCUGGACCUAAUAGAUGAC